CUCCAGACUCCUACGGGAGGCAGCAGUGGGGAAUAUUGCACAAUGGGGGAAACCCUGAUGCAGCAACGCCGCGUGAAGGAAGACGGUUUUCGGAUUGUAAACUUCUGUUCUUAGUGAAGAAGAAUGACGGUAGCUAAGGAGCAAGCCACGGCUAACUACGUGCCAGCAGCCGCGGUAAUACGUAGGGGGCAAGCGUUAUCCGGAAUUACUGGGUGUAAAGGGAGCGCAGACGGCAGUGCAAGUCUGGAGUGAAAGCCCGUGGCCCAACCCCGGGACUGCUCUUGGAACUGCGCGGCUGGAGUGCAGGAGGGGCAGGCGGAAUUCCUGGUGUAGCGGUGAAAUGCGUAGAUAUCAGGAGGAACACCGGUGGCGAAGGCGGCCUGCUGGACUGCGACUGACGUUGAGGCCCGAAAGCGUGGGGAGCAAACAGGAUUAGAUACCCUGGUA
rnacentral:rRNA from 1 species